AUUGAACGCUGGCGGAAUGCUUUACACAUGCAAGUCGAACGGCAGCACGGACUUCGGUCUGGUGGCGAGUGGCGAACGGGUGAGUAAUGUAUCGGAACGUGCCCAGUCGUGGGGGAUAACGUAGUGAAAAUUACGCUAAUACCGCAUACGAUCUAUGGAUGAAAGCGGGGGAUCGCAAGACCUCGCGCGAUUGGAGCGGCCGAUAUCAGAUUAGGUAGUUGGUGGGGUAAAGGCCCACCAAGCCAACGAUCUGUAGCUGGUCUGAGAGGACGACCAGCCACACUGGAACUGAGACACGGUCCAGACUCCUACGGGAGGCAGCAGUGGGGAAUUUUGGACAAUGGGCGAAAGCCUGAUCCAGCCAUUCCGCGUGCAGGAUGAAGGCCCUCGGGUUGUAAACUGCUUUUGUACAGAACGAAAAGGUUUCUACUAAUACUAGGAGCUCAUGACGGUACUGUAAGAAUAAGCACCGGCUAACUACGUGCCAGCCGCCGCGGUAA
rnacentral:rRNA from 1 species